GAUUCUGUGUCUCCCUCUCUCUGACCCUCCCCUGUUCAUGCUCUGUCUCUCCCUGUCUCAAAAAUAAAUAGGGUUAGUCCACGGUGUCUUUGGGGCUUAAAGUACAGAACCCUAGCCCCUGAUUCCCUGGGAGACCAGAUAGAGGAAGAGAUCACCUGACACCAGCUGUAUACCGAGCUUAAGGACGGGCAUUUCAGAGAUGGAAUCUAGGGGUCCUAGCUCCCCAGCGCGUGACCAGGAAAUCGCGGCCCAUUUGCUUUUCUUGGCUCCCGCUGCUAGAAAUGAGUGUUUCCUGGGUAUCUGGGGGGGGGGGGGGCUUGGAGGCUGUGACCCCUGUGUCUGUCCCACUGCCCCUCCCCAGCAUGACCCCUGCCGUGUGAGGAGACCAUCCGUGGCCGGGGCAUUGAACACUGGAACACAGAAUGUUCUAGGCAGAGGAAGAGGAGGGGGCACGUCUCUUCACUUCCACGCCGCAAGCUCCGCUUCUGUCCACAGUCUUACGAAACCUUUUAACUUCUGACUCUCCAGCCUCUAGAUUUCAGAGCUCAGCGCAGUCCCAGGGGCCAGAUGAGAACAGGCUCCAUAUCAUUUCUCUUCCUCUGCUCUUCCCUCAGCCCAAACUCCCAACCCACCCUUUUCUUUUCUCUCUCUUACAGAACAAAAGCGUCUGGCACAGCAGGGGGUAGCAAAGACACGGGACGACGUCGGUAGGAGUACCCUCUGCCCUCAGGCUCAGCCAUUCCCAAAUUGCGUCCUUACACAGAUGCUGUGAGAUAGAUAUUGUCAGCCCAUUUUACAGAUGGAGACACUGAGGCUCAGAGAGGAGAAGCUGGGCCAAGGAUACUCAGCUGGCAACGUCUCAUCCGUGAAGGCCUGGGGGAGGAGAGCUUGACCCCUUCGGAAAUGCAGGUGGGGCCAAUUUCUCUAGGAACACCGCAGGGAACCCUCCAGAAGCUCCAGGCCGCGCCCAGGGCUGGGAAGGACGCGAGUCCAUUCCUGGAUUGCCCCGUCUGCUUAGGUGGCAUUUCCAGAAGCUGAUUCUCUAGCGGGGUGUGUGGUCAGCGGGCGAGUGACACGAUUAGCUUUAAUGGAACCCGGAGGAAGCAGGAGCAAGGCAAGAAGUGAUUACAACAGAAGAGACCACGCUCAAGGAUUCCUUUUGAUCUUCAAACAACCCUGAGAGGGAGGGGGUCGUCCCCAUUUCCUAGCCUGGGAAGCAGGCUCAGAGAGGCCUGCGGACUUUCCUGAGGUCACCCAGCUGGCGGGGGCGGGGGCAGCUGCCUUCUAAAAACUCCGCAGACCUGAUGGGCAUCCCCUGCUCACUGCUGAGGCUGCCCUGACUCCAGGGCAGUGGUCACCUCACUUCCUGAGCAACCUUCUGAAGACCGUUGAACUUGCGGUCCACGGGGCAGGCGAAAGCCCCGCGCGUGCCCUGGGCACCGUUUUCCACCCGCCACCUCAUCCUCCUGGCUUCCCUACCUUGGCCCCCAGGGCAUGGUGGGGGGGGGGGCGGCCAAGCUGUCAUCUGAGAGCACUCCUAUGGCACCGCGUGGGAAAGGGACACUGAUUUACGAUCGGAAAGGUAAAGGAAGAUGCCGGGAAGAAGCAGGGUGGUAGGGGUGGGUGGGCAAUCAGGGAUAGCACCGGAAAGAAUAAAAAGAAUCCCUGAGCCUUAAAAAAGAGCCUGCCCUCUGAUUGCUGGCAGGCGUGGGCAGGCGCUCUCUCCUGUAAGACUGAAACGGAACCACGGAUGAGGAGAAAGCAUCUGGGGGCUUGGGUGUGCCUUGUAGGACUGCGUUAAAUUACAAACGUAUUGAUGGACCCCGCUGGUUAACAGGCUGGGCACGUGAGGAGGGGCUGGACCCGGGGAGCAGCGUCCCUCUGCCACCACCGUGUCACCUCUGAGUCUUGGCAAAUCUUAUAAUUGGCCCGACGGGUUAUGAUUUGAAACCGGGGGAGCCAAUCAGCAGGCGUCUCCUCUGACCUCCGGUUUGGGGUGGUGGGAGACGAGGCAGUGACUUGAGACACAGAGAAGGGAAAAAAAAAAACAUUCAAAACUAAAAAUAAAAAUAGAGACUAUCAAGAGCGAAGACCUAAAUCUUUUUGGCUCCCUGAUUAAUAACCCUGUCAUGCCGAUCACAAACCCUAAACAGCAAUGCUCGUUGCAGCUGAAUUUUUUAUACUUUCUAUUAAUCUUUAAUGAUAGCUUGGUCACCUAGUCUCUUUUAUCUUGUCAGAUAAAUGUAUGGUUAACAGGAUAAUGAGAUUUCUAAAGCCCCAUGCCAGCUCCCAGCCAUCCAGUGCUUGCGGUGACCUCUGACCCCUGGCAGACAGCGGCACCAGGGUGCUGGUAAUUGGUAGGUGUGCUGGGAAGGUAUUGGAGGCUGACGGAUGGUUUAAACUUUGAUUUGCGGUCAGCGAGGUCACCGAGCUCGGGAGGACCAGCCCGGUGUUAUUACCAGCUGCCUCUGAUGGGGAUAUAAUUAGAUUUAGCUAUUUCUUUAUUAAUAAGUAAUUGCUUCCCCCAUCGCUGUGGGUGGGCAAAUGUAUUCCUUGGAUAAUUUGAGGACACUCCUCUGGCUUUAUUAAGAAGAAUAUAUCACGCGUAUUGGCCAGAGGCAGACACCCAUUCGGUUUUCUGGACUUUGGAGGGACUGGAUCAUUUUUACCCAUUUGCAGCUUCGAGUAAGUUAGCUGUGCCUCGUGAAAUCUGCCCUCGCCUCGGUGACCUCGAACUCUCUGCCGUCAUAGGGAAACUCUGUUUUGACCCGUUUCCUGUGAUGUAAGAGCAAGAAAUAGUAAAUAGUUUCAUGCAGCUGUCCAUCCAGCCACUGAAUUAUCCAUCCAUCCAUCCAUCCAUCCACCCAUUAUCCUAUCGUCUACUCAACCAUGCUCCCUGGGAGGGUGAACAUAUUGUCUUAUGUCUACUGGACCUUUGCCCUGGAGACCCCGUUACGCUUGGAUCUACUUCCCACAGUCUUGGGUGGCACUUCCUCCAAGGACAGUGACGGCGUGGAGAGAGGCCUGAUUCUUUGCCUUUGCCUGGAUAGGCCCUGCCCUGUCUCUUGCUUUAGAGGUAGACUCUCUCUUCUCCCCCCUCCCCUAUUCUUCCUCCAGGGACACACCCAUUCCCCUAGGGCUUGGCCCCCUCUGUAAGAACCACUUGUCGUCACUAGGAGACCCUCAAGAGCAGUGGACAGGAAAAUGCCACCAGGACGGACUCAGGCCAGACCAAGGAAGCCCAGUUCUGGACUUAGUGGUCUCCCAGACCGACAGGCCAUUUGUCGUACCACCGAGGCAAGGUCCAAUGUGGGUCUUGCCAUCCGAUGGCUCUACAGUAGUCCCACGGGCCCGCCUGGAUGCAAGGACCACGCCCAGGAAGAACAUGAACUGGUGUGAGCGAACAUUUACCGUUAGCUCUUUCUC